UACGGAGGGGGCUAGCGUUGUUCGGAAUUACUGGGCGUAAAGCGCGCGUAGGCGGCUUUGUAAGUUAGAGGUGAAAGCCCGGAGCUCAACUCCGGAACUGCCUUUAAGACUGCAUCGCUAGAACGAUGGAGAGGUAAGUGGAAUUCCGAGUGUAGAGGUGAAAUUCGUAGAUAUUCGGAAGAACACCAGUGGCGAAGGCGGCUCACUGGACUGGUAUUGACGCUGAGGUGGCGAAAGCGUGGGGAGCAAACAGG
rnacentral:rRNA from 1 species